UUGAUUAUAAUAAACAAUAUUACUGAACACGAAGUUGAGGGAGCUAAUUAAUAUCUGCUUAUAGGAGAAAACAUGUUGCAUAAUUUAUUAAAUAUUAAUUAGGGGUGAAAGGCUUGUCACAAUCAACGAUAACUUGAUGGUUUAGAAAUGUACUAGUAUGUGGGCAAUCUUGAAGUGAUAAGGCUUUAAAAGGGAAUGAAUUUAUUUAAAUUAGAAAGAUGUCGUGUUUAAUCAUUAAUAUUAUUAAAAAAUAUUAUUUCUUUGUUACUUUUAUUUCUACUAUAAACCUAUGAGUAACUACUUAAAAAAUAGAUAAUGUUGAUAUUAGUAGUAAAGAGAUGUAAAUAAUGAACUCGGCAAAAAGCCUUUCAACUGUUUAUCAAAAACAUAGCUGUAUGAAUUAAUAUGCAGUAAUUUCUGCUCAAUGAACAAUUAAAUAGCCGCAGUACCCUGACUGUGCUAAGGUAGCGCAAUCAAUUGACUUUUAAAUGAAGUCCAGAAUGAACGAAAUUAUGGGGGGCUUCUUUUUCAUUGGCAAUUUUUGAAUUUUCUCAGUAAGUGCAAAUUCUUACAUAUAAAAAAUAGACGAGAAGACCCUAGAAAUUUUAAAAAACAAGUCUUUUUUGUUGGGGCAACAGAGUAGCAAAUAAUAAUCUACUAAAACUAACAUGCAAAAAAUAUUUUGAUAGAUCAAAUUACUCUAGGGAUAACAGCAUAAUUUAUGAACGUUUGUGACCUCGAUGUUGGAUUAGGGAAUUAACAUUUAGAAG
rnacentral:rRNA from 1 species